rnacentral:rRNA from 1 species
AUUGAACGCUGGCGGCAGGCUUAACACAUGCAAGUCGAGCGGGGGCUUCGGUCCUAGCGGCGAACGGGUGAGGAAUGCUUGGGAAUCUGCCCAGUAGCGGGGGAUAACGUUUCGAAAGGAACGCUAAUACCGCAUACGCCCUACGGGGGAAAGGGGGGGAUCUUCGGACCUCUCACUAUUGGAUGAGCCCAAGUCGGAUUAGCUAGUUGGUGGGGUAAAGGCCUACCAAGGCGACGAUCCGUAGCUGGUCUGAGAGGAUGAUCAGUCACACUGGAACUGAGACACGGUCCAGACUCCUACGGGAGGCAGCAGUGGGGAAUAUUGGACAAUGGGCGAAAGCCUGAUCCAGCCAUGCCGCGUGUGUGAAGAAGGCCUUCGGGUUGUAAAGCACUUUAAGCGAGGAGGAAUGGCUGAGGGUUAAUAACCUUCAGCAGUGACGUUACUCGCAGAAUAAGCACCGGCUAACUCUGUGCCAGCCGCCGCUGUAAUAC